UACGUAGGGGGCAAGCGUUGUCCGGAUUUAUUGGGCGUAAAGAGCGUGUAGGCGGCCAUACAGGUCAGCUGUGAAAACUCGAGGCUCAACCUCGAGACGUCGGUUGAAACCGUUUGGCUAGAGUCCGGAAGAGGAGAGUGGAAUUCCCGGUGUAGCGGUGAAAUGCGCAGAUAUCGGGAAGAACACCGAUGGCGAAGGCAGUGGUCUGGGCCGAUACUGACGCUGAGGAGCGAAAGCGUGGGGAGCGAACAGG
rnacentral:rRNA from 1 species